UACGAAGGGUGCAAGCGUUACUCGGAAUUACUGGGCGUAAAGCGUGCGUAGGUGGUUUUUUAAGUCCGUUGUGAAAGCCCUGGGCUCAACCUGGGAAUGGCAGUGGAUACUGGAAAGCUAGGGUGCGGUAGAGGGUGGUGGAAUUCCCGGUGUAGCAGUGAAAUGCGUAGAGAUCGGGAGGAACACCAGUGGCGAAGGCGGCUACCUGGGAAGAUACUGACGCUGAGGUGCGAAAGCGUGGGGAGCAAACAGG
rnacentral:rRNA from 1 species